GUCACUUUGCCGGAGUGGUUAACGGGAUCGCCUGCUAUCAAUAAUAAAGGCAGCUUGAGCGGUUGGGCUUUGCCCGCGUGUGUUCGAAUCGCACAGGUGACG